rnacentral:rRNA from 1 species
AGAGUUUGAUUAUGGCUCAGAUUGAACGCUGGCGGCAGGCUUAACACAUGCAAGUCGAGCGGAAACGAAGGUAGCUUGCUACCAGGCGUCGAGCGGCGGACGGGUGAGUAAUGCUUAGGAAUCUACCGAGUAGUGGGGGAUAGCCAUUGGAAAUGAUGAUUAAUACCGCAUAUAUCCUACGGGGGAAAGCAGGGGACCUUCGGGCCUUGCGCUAUUCGAUGAGCCUGAGUGAGAUUAGCUAGUUGGUGGGGUAAAGGCCUACCAAGGCGACGAUCUCUAGCUGGUCUGAGAGGAUGAUCAGCCACACUGGGACUGAGACACGGCCCAGACUCCUACGGGAGGCAGCAGUGGGGAAUAUUGCACAAUGGACGAAAGUCUGAUGCAGCCAUGCCGCGUGUGUGAAGAAGGCCUUCGGGUUGUAAAGCACUUUCAGCGAGGAGGAAAGGUCAGUAAGUAAUAUUUGCUGGCUGUGACGUUACUCGCAGAAGAAGCACCGGCUAAUUUAGUGCCAGCAGCCGCGGUAAUACUAAAGGUGCAAGCGUUAAUCGGAAUUACUGGGCGUAAAGCGCGCGUAGGUGGUUUGUUAAGUUGGAUGUGAAAGCCCAGGGCUCAACCUUGGAACUGCAUUCAAAACUGACUCACUAGAGUACGAGAGAGGUUAGUGGAAUUUCCUGUGUAGCGGUGAAAUGCGUAGAGAUGGGAAGGAACACCAGUGGCGAAGCGACUGACUGGCUCGAUACUGACACUG